rnacentral:snoRNA from 1 species
CUUUAUGAUGAACCCCUGAUAGGGACAUCUUAUGCCAAUGUGGCAAAAGUGAUGUGAAUUUUGGGCUCGGUAUUUUAGUAGAUGCUUCGAGUUUCUGAUC